UGAGGAAUAUUGGUCAAUGGGGGCAACCCUGAACCAGCCAUGCCGCGUGGAGGAAGAAGGCCCUAAGGGUUGUAAACUUCUUUUGUACGGGGGUAAACUUUUCUACGUGUAGAAAACUGAAAGUACUGUACGAAUAAGGAUCGGCUAACUCCGUGCCAGCAGCCGCGGUAAUACGGAGGAUCCAAGCGUUAUCCGGAUUUAUUGGGUUUAAAGGGUGCGUAGGCGGGUUUGUAAGUCAGUGGUGAAAGACUGUCGCUUAACGAUAGCAUUGCCAUUGAUACUGCAAGUCUUGAGUACACUUGAGGUAGGCGGAAUGUGUAGUGUAGCGGUGAAAUGCUUAGAUAUUACACAGAACACCAAUUGCGAAGGCAGCUUACUAAAUUGUUACUGACGCUGAGGCACGAAAGCGUGGGGAUCAAACA
rnacentral:rRNA from 1 species